UACCCGAUAGUCCAGUGGUUAAGACUCUGCACUUCUAAUGCAGGGGGCACGGAUUUGAUCCCUGGUUGGGGAG
rnacentral:tRNA from 1 species